GACCCCCCGCCAUCUUGCCCGUCUGUUAGAGGGGGCUUCCCCGUUCAUUUCCAUGGCCGCUCUGCCCUGCAGCUGUGCACAGAGCCUGCCCGUUCUCAGCUCCGCCCCCGGUGCCCAGCACUGCAGCCCCUGGACUGGGCGUCUCUGCGCUCGGGCUGUGGCUGGAAGCUGGGGCUCCCUGGAAGUCCCGCAGUGGUGAUCACACUGUCAGGUGGAUUCCCAAGGCGCUGGGCCGGGCUGUGUGUUCCUGGGGCUGACCGCUGGGUGCUGUGGUCGUUGGGGCAGAGCAGAGGAAACCAUGCCGACAGCACGGGGCUCCCCAGAGAGCUGCAUCCCCUUUGGGAAGGACCCAGGUGUCCCCUCCGUUUCCUCCUUCCCCUGCCCUCCUUUAACUUUCCCUUCCCUUGCUGUGCCCAGCACUGCCCUACUCAUUGCAAUGGGGGGCUCUCCCCCGCCUCCCAGAUCUCAGGGCUGUGUGCCUGGGCCUGGAGUGAGCCUGUUCAUUCUCACCUCCCCCCGACUCAGCGCUGUGUUCCUGGGCCUUGCACCGAGUGUGUCAGUUCUCAGCUCUCCACUCCAGUCUCAGCUGUGUGUGGUGUGUGUGCAGUGCUGUGAUCAUGCCUGUUUCCAGCUCUUCACCCUGAUUUCAGUGCCGGGAGCAGCACCAUGCACUGAGCAGGCCCCUUCUAAGCACUUCACUCCAGUGUCAGCACAGUGUCUCUAUGCCAUGCACUGAGCAUAGCAGGUCUCAAACCCUGGCACAGCUCUGCUCGGAUGCUUUAGUGCAGACUGACAGUUCAGCCAGCCUGUCCCUGCAGAGAGCUCCCUGAUCUCCAUUGCUUUCCUCAAGUGCUGUUUGUUCUCAUCCCUGACUUGGCCUUUUCCAGCACAGAGGUGGGUCCUGCGUGGAUCUGGGGAGCCGCCACUUGGAGCCAAAAUAGGCAGUUGAGCUAUGAUGGGAGAGGAGCCAUGACUGGAAAUGAUGUGGAUGCAGCUAGUUACACCGGCUGCUCUUUGAACUGGACACAACGUUGCAACCAUUGAACCACACUGUGCAUGGAAACGUUGUUGCAGUAGCAUAGCAUGCACUAGACACAUACCUGUAAAUUGGCUUCUUCUGUCCCUGCCAUUCCCUGACAGCUGGAUGCUGUUAGCAGACGGGACUUCCUUUACAGGGAAGGCUAUUAUUGCUGCAUUUUUUCUGGUGAAUGUAUCCCUUGUCACUUAUAGACAUCACUCAACCACAUUUAUCCUGCUGCUGUUUCCUGGACCUCAGCACAUCACCCUGGGCUCUGCCUCUUCAUUCUCUAAGGAGCCCCCUGUGGACAGACCGCUGCACUCACAUGGAGCCCAGUGGUUUGGGCCUGAGUGCCUGGAUCCUGCACAGAAAAAAAUCAGGCCCAUUUGAAGAGUCUGCGAGAAGACAGAGAAAAGCUGCUGGGAUUUAACGUGACUGGAGAGGGGAAAAGCCGGGAGUAUCUGACACAAACACAAACUGAGAGGCAGAAGAUUGUGUCUAAAUUUCAGGAACUGCGGCAAUUCCUGGAGGAACAAGAAACCCUGUGGAAACCCUGAUUGAAACCCUUUCUGAUCUCCCCAUAAAAACUGUCUUCUAACUGCCAGAAACUCCCAUGUACUCCCCUGACCUCCAUUCCUGCUCAGUGUUAGAGACCUCCUCAUUUCCUCUGCGUUGCCCAAGAAUUUGUCUACAGUUCUGUUUCAAGACAUGUUAACUAACAUUAUAGACAACCAUCUACAUGUACACUAGAUUCCACAAUCAUGUUAAGUAAUAUGUUUUAAACAUGAUUAAAAAUAUGAUGAGCUAUUUAUUGAUAUAGCACCCAAAAAUGUGCUAAGCACUUUACACUCACAGGACAGGCUAAAGACCAGAGACUGGAAAUGGACAACACACAAAGAUGAAAAAAGCAUGAAGGGGGGGAAGUUAAUAAUAGGAGGGGUGUCUUUGUGGCUAAGGCACUAGAAUAGCACUGAAGAGAUCUAGGUUCAAUUCCCAGCCUUGCCACAAACUCCCUGUGUGAUUUGGAGCAAGUCACUGAAUCUCACUAUAGCUCAGUUUCCCUAUCAGGAUAAUGAACCUUCCCUUGUCUAGUAAGGCAUUCAAACUUCACAGGCUUAGCUUUCAGCAUUAUAAGUAAUCAAUGGGUCUACUCACAGGAAAUGAAGAACAUGUGUAACGAGCCAAAAACUCAAAAGGUAAUAACAAAAUGUUUUUUAAGUACAUCAGAAGCAGGAAGCCUGCUAAACAACUAGUGGGGCCCCUGGACGAUCAAGAUACAAAAGGAGCACUUAAAGACGAUAAAGUC